AACGCCCGGUUACAUUCCGAACCCGGAAGCUAAGCCUUACAGCGCCGAUGGUACUGCAGGGGGAACCCUGUGGGAGAGUAGGACGCCGCCGAAC
rnacentral:rRNA from 1 species